GGUUAGAUUGAUUUGUUUAGAUCCAGUGAAAAUGCUGCCUUGACAACGCUACGUCAUGGCUUCGGUGUUCCAAAAAGCCUCUGUCAGAAGUCUGUCACUUUUACAGUCUGUGAUAAAACACUUUUUGUACAUGUUGUUGAAACGUUAUGGAUAUUAGAAAGUUUUUCAAAAGACCACUCAGCUCCGUUCAAGCAACAGCAUCGCCCAGUGAACUGACGGAUGGUGUUGUUUCAGGUUGGUGAUUUCACGUUAAGAGCUUUCAGUCAGUUAGGCAGGCUAACGUUAGGCUACUUGGCUAGCUCCCUACAUGCUUAACGUUAACGUUAAAUAUGAGCUACAACCAGG